AUCAGCGUGCUUUUUAUUGGAGGUGCAAAUUAUACAUAAUAACAUACAGCAAUUUUCAGUUAGAACUUUCGCAUUUUGCAGAAGUCCUUGCAUUUUUUUCAACAAAUAUAAGGGGAAGAAAAAUUCUCUCUUUUGUUUCCUCCCUUUCCCUUUUUCUUACAGAAAACAACGUCCAGGUUUUCUUGGAGCCAAUUAAGUCCAUUUGAAAUAAAGUUCUUUUAUUUUGGAUCAAGAGUGUCCACAUGGGGAGUUAAUCAAGAAUAAUUAUUCCUCUCUAAAUUCACAUCCUCAAAUAAUUUGAAUUAAAUCCCCAGCAUAGGAAAGCCCUAAAUGUCAGAGGAGGUUAAAAAAUAGUAGAGUAGACUAGAGGAGCUCUAUCAUAACAGAAAGCGAUGACAGUAAAACCAUCCUCUAUGCAGCCAGCCCAAGCCAGCAAGCGGAGCCAGCCAGGAUGGAUCCAGGUACAAAUGAUCCCACUCUCACUGUUCAGCCAUUUAAAGUCAACUGCUGUAUGUGUCCAUGGCACAGUUGCUAUGUACACUCUGUAUAGUGAUGUAAUAGUGGCAUCAGGCAGGAGAUGCUGCAGUCAUCAGAAGGAGCGAGUUCAGGCACAUCUCAGGAAGGAAUGUUGCUCAGGGAUGGAUGCCUUUCUCAGUUGUUUUCCCAGCUGGCUGCAGGUUUUAAGGAAGACAAAGUCAUCAGACAGUUACUGUGGGUCUUGGUUGGGGUUUUCAACUCGAAGGACAGCUGGACCAAACACUGCAAUACCAAUUUGUGAAGGAACUUGAAUUCACCAUAAAUACACAAAGAUGGAGCUGAGGAAAUGAAUCUAGGAUGAAGCUGAGUGAGGUUUCCAGCACCUUGAGCAAUGAUUCAUGGAGAUACCUGGUGGGGAUCAUAAGGAAAGUAAGAAGAACAAGGCUGGCACAGCCCCAGACAGAUUCACCAACUUCUUGGUCUCAGGCAGUGAGAAAUUUCCUCUUCCAGGUGCUCUCAACAGUGUGCAGCGCUGCUAUGGACAGAUGUCAUGGAGGUUUCCAUUAAAAUAAAUUAAAUCAAGCAGCUAUCCCA
rnacentral:lncRNA from 1 species